rnacentral:rRNA from 1 species
CGUAGGGUGCGAGCGUUGUCCGGAAUUAUUGGGCGUAAAGAGCUCGUAGGCGGUUUGUCGCGUCGGCCGUGAAAACUGGAGGCUUAACCUCCAGCUUGCGGUCGAUACGGGCAGACUUGAGUUCGGUAGGGGAGACUGGAAUUCCUGGUGUAGCGGUGGAAUGCGCAGAUAUCAGGAGGAACACCGGUGGCGAAGGCGGGUCUCUGGGCCGAUACUGACGCUGAGGAGCGAAAGCGUGGGGAGCGAACAGGAUU